rnacentral:lncRNA from 1 species
AUGAUGGGCCGGGUUUCAGGUGUGGCCUCGUAUAAAAGUAGAGUCACCUGGUUGCUGGAUUCAUUAGUGUGUGAUUCGGCACAAGGCUUUGGUUUGGGAAUUUUGAAAAUGUAUGGGAACAAUGGAGGAAACCAGUAUCCUCCUGGAUACGGUCAACCACCAAUGCAAGGAGGAUAUCCCCAAUAUCCACCAGGGUCUGUUCCUCCCCAAAACUACCCUUCCCAACCAUUUCCUCCCCAGCCUGGCCAGCCUGGUUACAAUCCUCUAGCCCCACCUCCUGGAAGCUAUCCACAGCCUGGACAGGGCCUGUAUCCUGGUCCUGGCUGCGGGCCUGGACAGGGCCCCUAUCCUGGUCCUGGCUGCGGGCCUGGACAGGGCCCCUAUCCUGGUGCUGGGUGUGGGCCUGGACAGGGAAUGUGUCCUGGUGGUGGGUGUGGGCCUGGACGUGGGCACCAUCACGGGCAUCACGGACAUCAUGGACCUCAUGGACAUUACGGGCACCACCACCAUAUGUUCCGUCGCCACAGACACAGGCAUGGUCACAUGCAUGUCAAUUGUCACAAGAAAGGAAGACAUUGCCGUGGGAACUCCAGCAGCUCCUGCAGCAGCGACUCUGACUAGACUGAGGCUUUGACCAUCUGGACUCAUCAUCUACUGGACCCCCCCCCCCUUAUUAAGGUGAUAUGUAACCAAAGGGACUUUUUUCCUGUUUUGCGGUCAAGUAAGUUUAAAUUGAUCUGCAGCUUUUCUGACAUUAGUUCAACUGCUGCGUCAGUAGAAUCACGGCACGUCAAACAUAACACUUUUCUUUGCCUGUGGCUUUUUUUAGGACAUUUGAUUGUUUUCUGGUCUGCUUCUAUGUAUUGGUAAAGCUUUUUAGAAUUUUCAUAACCCUUUUGAUAAUGAUUAUAUUUUGCAAAGUGAAAUAUGAAAUAAAAUUUUACUACUUUGAAUAAAGUUUUUAACU